rnacentral:rRNA from 1 species
GAUGAACGCUGGCGGCGUGCCUAACACAUGCAAGUCGAGCGAACGGACGAGAAGGUUUCUUUUCUGAUGUUAGCGGCGGACGGGUGAGUAACACGUGGAUAACCUAGCUAUAAGACUGGGAUAACUUCGGGAAACCGGAGCUAAAUCCGGCAAAUUUUUUCAACCGCAAGGUUCAAAAGUGUAGGACGGUUUUCCUUCCGCUGAUAGAUGGUUCCGCGCUGCAUUAGCUUGUUGGUAAGGUAACGGCUUACCAAGGCAACGAUGCAUAGCCGACCUGAGAGGGUGAUCGGCCACACUGGAACUGAGACACGGUCCAGACUCCUACGGGAGGCAGCAGUAGGGAAUCUUCCGCAAAGGGCGAAAGCCUGACGGAGCAACGCCGCGUGUGUGAUGAAGGUCUUCGGGUCGUAAAACUCUGUUAUUAGGGAGGAACAUAUGUGUAAGUAACUGUGCACAUCUUGACGGUACCUACUCAGAAAGCCACGGCUAACUCCGUG